CUCCUUCUCCAGCUUUGGAGCAGCCUUUCAGAGACCGUUCCAAUACUCUGAAUGAGAAGCCCGCCCUGCCCGUCAUCCGAGACAAGUACAAAGACCUGACGGGAGAGGUGGAGGAAAAUGAGAGAUAUGCAUAUGAAUGGCAGAGAUGCCUGGGGAGUGCCCUGAAUGUGAGUAUGUCACUUACGCGUUCACACAUAUGUGAGUGCUCUUUUGUGCCUUUUUGCCUUCUUGGUUCAUUUGAAUUGACAGAGGCAAACUUCAGGAGAGCCUUACUUGGAUGUCCCUGGGCAAAGAGUAACUCUGUGGAAGUCAUGCAUCUAAGGUGAGGCUUCUUUCACACUUACAAUAGCAGACCGGCUCAUGUGUCAGUCAUCCCCUCAUCUGUCAUUGUGUUUAAGAAAUAACAAAGUGAUUUCAUUAACUCUGACUAAAUCAAAAUAAUAUUUAAGCUAAAGAACCUGUCUUGGCUGGGUGCGGUGGCUCAACACCUAUAAUCCCAGCACUUUGGGAGGCCAAGGCGGGCGGAUCACGAGGUCAGGAGUUUGAGACCAGCCUGACCAACAUGGUGAAACCCUGUCUCUACUAAAAAUGCAAAAAUUAGCCAGGCGUGGUGGCACGUGCCUGUAAUCUCAGCUACUCAGGAAACUGAGGCAGGAGAAUCACUUGAACCCGGGAGUCAGGGGUUCAGUGAGCCGAGAUCUUGCCACUGCACUCCAACCUGUGCUACAGAGCGAGACUCCGUCUCAAAACAAAGC
rnacentral:lncRNA from 1 species